rnacentral:rRNA from 1 species
AGAGUUUGAUCCUGGCUCAGGAUAAACGCUGGCGGCGUGCCUAACACAUGCAAGUCGUACGCCCUUCGCAAGAAGGGAGUGGCGGACGGGUGAGUAACACGUGGGUGCACCUACCCCAAAGUGAGGAAUACCAUCGGGAAACCGAUGACAAGACCGCAUAGGUUCCUCUUCGAGGAGCAAAGCUCGCAAGAGCGCUUUGG